rnacentral:lncRNA from 1 species
AACAGCUCCGGUCUACAGCUCCCAGCCUGAGCGACGCAGAAGACGGGUGAUUUCUGCAUUUUCAUCUGAGGGUCUCUGAAGUGCAGUUUCCCAGCCUACAGCUGACCUGUAUAAGAGGUGUAGCCGUCCCACCAGCAGCUCCCUCCUGCUGCUCCUUCCACCAUAUCUCUGGGUUCACCUACCACAGAUGCCAAGCCUUGUCGCCCCAUCCUGCUUUUGCAAGAUGGUGAGAUCCUAAACUAAUGGAGAUGAUGUUCUUUGGGUUGACCGUUCUGGUAUAGAAGUUCAGCUGUGGAGCAAUAGAAGCAGCUUCAUGUAAUUGUGAGAAGGGCCCAAGUUCAGAAACAGAGGCCCACAUUGAGGAAAGGCUGCAGCAUCCUCACAAGAUGUCAUGGUGGUUC